rnacentral:rRNA from 1 species
GACGUAGGGCGCGAGCGUUGUCCGGAGUUAUUGGGCGUAAAGAGCUCGUAGGCGGUUUGUCGCGUCGUCCGUGAAAACUCACAGCUUAACUGUGAGCUUGCGGUCGAUACGGGCAGGCUAGAGUUCGGUAGGGGAGACUGGAAUUCCUGGUGUAGCGGUGAAAUGCGCAGAUAUCAGGAGGAACACCGGUGGCGAAGGCGGGUCUCUGGGCCGAUACUGACGCUGAGGAGCGAAAGCGUGGGGAGCGAACAGG